GGGAAGAGUUUAUGGAAAUACAGGAACCAAAGUCAAAGGAGUAGACCUCGAUGCCCCUGGCAGCAUUAAUGGAGUUCCACUCUUGGAAGUAGAUUUGGAUUCUUUUGAAGAUAAACCAUGGCGGAAACCUGGUGCUGAUCUUUCCGAUUAUUUUAAUUAUGGCUUUAAUGAAGAUACUUGGAAAGCUUACUGUGAAAAACAAAAGAGGAUCCGAAUGGGACUGGAAGUUAUACCCGUUACUUCAACGACAAACAAGAUUACGGUACAGCAAGGGAGAACUGGAAAUUCAGAGAAAGAAGCAGCACUUCCAUCUACAAAAGCUGAGUUUACUUCUCCGCCAUCAUUGUUCAAGACUGGUCUGCCACCAAGCAGGAGAUUACCUGGAGCAAUCGAUGUCAUUGGUCAAACAAUAACCAUCAGCCGAGUAGAAGGAAGACGGCGUGCAAAUGAGAACAGCAAUAUACAGGUUCUUUCUGACAGAUCUGCCACUGAAGUAGACAACAAUUUCAGCAAACCACCUCCAUUUUUCCCUCCAGGGGCUCCUCCUACUCACCUUCCUCCUCCUCCAUUUCUUCCACCUCCUCCAACUGUCAGCACUGCUCCACCUUUGAUUCCACCACCAGGUAUUCCAAUAACUGUACCACCUCCAGGUUUCCCCCCUCCACCAGGCGCUCCACCUCCAUCUCUUAUACCGACAAUAGAAAGUGGCCAUUCCUCUGGUUACGACAGCCGUUCUGCACGGGCGUUUCCAUAUGGCAAUG
rnacentral:lncRNA from 1 species